AGCAGCCGCGGUAAUUCCAGCUCUAAUAGCGUAUAUUAAAGUUGUUGCAGUUAAAAAGCUCGUAGUUGAAUUUCGGGGUUAGUAGGUUGGUCAUGCCUCUGGUAUGUACUGGUCUCACUGAUUCCUCCUUCCUGAUGAGCCGUAAUGCCAUUAAUUUGGUGUUGCGGGGAAUUUGGACUGUUACUUUGAAAAAAUUGAGUGUUUAAAGCAAGCUAACGCUUGAAUACAUUAGCAUGGAAUAAUGAAAUAGGACGUUCGAUCCUAUUUUGUUGGUUUCUAGGAUUGACGUAAUGAUUAAUAGGGAUAGUUGGGGGCAUUAGUAUUCAAUUGUCAGAGGUGAAAUUCUUGGAUUUAUUGAAGACUAACUACUGCGAAAGCAUUUGCCAAGGAUGUUUUCAUUAAUCAAGAACGAAAGUUAGGGGAUCGAAGACGAUCAGAUACCGUCGUAGUCUUAACCAUAAACUAUGCCGACUAGGGAUCGGAUGAUGUUAAUUU
rnacentral:rRNA from 1 species